UACAGAGGGUGCAAGCGUUGUUCGGAAUUAUUGGGCGUAAAGGGCGCGUAGGCGGUGCGGUAAGUCACCUGUGAAAUCCCCGGGCUUAACCUGGGAACUGCAUUCGGGACUGCAUUGCUAGAGUAUGGGAGAGGGAAGUGGAAUUUCAGGUGUAGCGGUGAAAUGCGUAGAUAUCUGAAGGAACAUCAGUGGCGAAAGCGACUUCCUGGGCCAAUACUGACGCUCAUGUGCGAAAGCGUGGGGAGCAAACAGG
rnacentral:rRNA from 1 species